rnacentral:rRNA from 1 species
UACGUAGGGGGCAAGCGUUGUCCGGAUUUAUUGGGCGUAAAGAGCGUGUAGGCGGCUAGGUAGGUCCGUUGUGAAAACUCGAGGCUCAACCUCGAGCUGUCGGCGGAAACCAUCUGGCUAGAGUCCGGAAGAGGAGAGUGGAAUUCCUGGUGUAGCGGUGAAAUGCGCAGAUAUCAGGAAGAACACCUAUGGCGAAGGCAGCUCUCUGGGACGGUACUGACGCUGAGACGCGAAAGCGUGGGGAGCGAACAGG